rnacentral:rRNA from 1 species
CCUACGGGAGACAGCAGUGAGGAAUAUUGGUCAAUGGGCGCGAGCCUGAACCAGCCAAGUCGCGUGAGGGAAGACGGUCCUAUGGAUUGUAAACCUCUUUUGUCGGGGAGCAAAAGACGCCACGCGUGGCGUUCCGAGAGUACCCGAAGAAAAAGCAUCGGCUAACUCCGUGCCAGCAGCCGCGGUAAUACGGAGGAUGCGAGCGUUAUCCGGAGUUAUUGGGUUAAAAGGGUGCGCAGGCGGAAGAUCAAGUCAGCGGUAAAAUUGAGAGGCUCAACCUCUUCGAGCCGUUGAAACUGGUCUUCUUGAGUGAGCGAGAAGUAUGCGGAAUGCGUGGUGUAGCGGUGAAAUGCAUAGAUAUCACGCAGAACUCCGAUUGCGAAGGCAGCAUACCGGCGCUCAACUGACGCUCAUGCACGAAAGUGUGGGUAUCGAACAGGAUUAGAUACCCUAGUAGUC